rnacentral:rRNA from 1 species
UGAAUACGAGAUGCUACGGCGUCGAAGCAGUCUGUGUCAUACUUCCAAGAAAAGCUCGCACUGUCAUAAACAAAUAAUGCCUGUACCAUAACCGACACAGGUGGGUAGGUAGAGUAUACUAAGGGGCGCGAGAUAACUCUCUCUAAGGAACUCGGCAAAAUGACUCCGUAACUUCGGGAGAAGGAGUGCCUUAUUUAUAAGGUUGCAAUAACAAGAUCCAAGCAACUGUUUAUCAAAAACACAGGUCUCCGCUAAGUCGUAAGACGAUGUAUGGGGGCUGACGCCUGCCCAGUGCCAGAAGGUUAAAGAAGUUGGUUAGCAUUCGCGAAGCUGAUAACUGAAGCCCUGGUGAACGGCGGCCGUAACAAUAACGGUCCUAAGGUAGCGAAAUUCCUUGUCGGGUAAGUUCCGACCCGCACGAAAGGCGUAAUGAUUUGGAUACUGUCUCGGAGAGGGGCUCGGUGAAAUAGACUUGUCUGUGAAGAUGCGGACUACCUGCACCAGGACAGAAAGACCCUAUGAAGCUUUACUGUAACUUGAGAUUGAAAUUGGACUUUACUUGCGCAGUAUAGGUGGGAGGCGUUGAUAAUAUUCUUGCGGGAUUAUUUGAGCCAUCAGUGAGAUACCACUCUUGUAAUGUUAGAUUUCUAACUUUGUAUCAUUAUCUGGUCAAAGGACAGUUUCAGGCGGGCAGUUUGACUGGGGCGGUCGCCUCCUAAACGGUAACGGAGGCGCACAAAGGUUUCCUCUGAACGGGUAGAAAUCGUAUCUAGAGUGUAAAGGCAUAAGGAAGCUUGACUGUGAGACCUACAAGUCGAGCAGGGACGAAAGUCGGUCUUAGUGAUCUGACGGUGCUGAGUGGAAAGGCCGUCACUCAACGGAUAAAAGUUACUCUAAGGAUAACAGGCUGAUCUCCCCCAAGAGUUCACAUCGACGGGGAGGUUUGGCACCUCGAUGUCGGCUCAUCGCAUCCUGGGGCGGUAGUACGUCCCAAGGGUUGGGCUGUUCGCCCAUGAAAGCGGUACGCGAGCUGGGUUCAGAACGUCGUGAGACAGUUCGGUCCAUAUCCGGUGUAGGCGUUAGAAUAUUGAGAGGAGCCUUCUUUAGUACGAGAGGACCGAGAAGGACAUACCUCUGGUGUACCAGUUAUCGUGCCAACGGUAAACGCUGGGUAGCUAUGUAUGGAGUGGAUAACCGCUGAAAGCAUCUAAGUGGGAAGCCCACCUCAAGAUAAGUAUUCUC